UCUAGGCAGAAAAGGAAAAAAUGACGCUCAGAAGCUGCAAACGUCUGAUUACGUCUCGUUACGAUGGUAUGACUAAAAAAAACUACAGACAACUAUGGCAUGGCAUGGUAUGAGGUGAAGAUGAGGGAAUGAGAAGACAUCUUCGUUACAAUGGUAUGACUAAAAAAAACUACAGACAACUAUGGCAUGGCAUGGUAUGAGGUGAGGAUGAGGGAAUGAGAAGACAUCUUCGUUACGAUGGUAUGACUAAAAAAACUACAGACAACUAUGGCAUGGCAUGGUAUGAGGUGAGGAUGAGGGAAUGAGAAGACAUCUUCGUUACGAUGGUAUGACUAGAAAAACUACAGACAACUAUGGCAUGGCAUGGUAUGAGGUGAGGAUGAGGGAAUGAGAAGACAUCUUCGUUACGAUGGUAUGACUAAAAAAAACUACAGACAACUAUGGCAUGGCAUGGUAUGAGGUGAAGAUGAGGGAAUGAGAAGACAUCUUCGUUACGAUGGUAUGACUAGAAAAACUACAGACAACUAUGGCAUGGCAUGGUAUGAGGUGAGGAUGAGGGAAUGAGAAGACAUCUUCGUUACGAUGGUAUGACUAGAAAAACUACAGACAACUAUGGCAUGGCAUGGUAUGAGGUGAGGAUGAGGGAAUGAGAAGACAUCUUCGUUACGAUGGUAUGACUAAAAAAACUACAGACAACUAUGGCAUGGCAUGGUAUGAGGUGAAGAUGAGGGAAUGAGAAGACAUCUUCGUUACGAUGGUAUGACUAAAAAAAACUACAGACAACUAUAGCAUGGCAUGGUAUGAGGUGAGGAUGAGGGAAUGAGAAGACAUCUUCGUUACGAUGGUAUGACUAAAAAAACUACAGACAACUAUGGCAUGGCAUGGUAUGAGGUGAAGAUGAGGGAAUGAGAAGACAUCUUCGUUACGAUGGUAUGACUAGAAAAACUACAGACAACUAUGGCAUGGCAUGGUAUGAGGUGAGGAUGAGGGAAUGAGAAGACAUCUUCGUUACGAUGGUAUGACUAAAAAAACUACAGACAACUAUGGCAUGGCAUGGUAUGAGGUGAAGAUGAGGGAAUGAGAAGACAUCUUCGUUACGAUGGUAUGACUAAAAAAAACUACAGACAACUAUAGCAUGGCAUGGUAUGAGGUGAGGAUGAGGGAAUGAGAAGACAUCUUCGUUACGAUGGUAUGACUAAAAAAACUACAGACAACUAUGGCAUGGCAUGGUAUGAGACUCAGAGACUGACAAAUACUAUCCAAGUUAUGACUGUCGUCAAAUCAAGGUGUCUGUGAUAACGAGUUGUCUGUAACAGGAGGUCUGGGUACGAGUUCAUGGCGCCGAUGGAGACAGCAAGAAGACGGUGGACAAGUAUAUCAGAAUACCUGUGGAUGAGGGGAUCAAAUGGUACAAAAGCUAGCAAGAAUCUCUAUACCUUAGAGCGUGCAGCCUUGACAAGUAUGUCGUAGUUGGACGGAGGUGGGGAGGGGUGCCUACGCAGGACUGCAAACUCAGGGAAUCGCUGAUGGAUGUGCUUCGCUACGGAGAUGUUUGCCAGCAACAUGAACUCUUCCACAAGAGAGUUAGUGUCCCUGUUGAAGCGACAAGAGUAUUACAGCUGUCUAGCAAGCAAAGGUAUAAAGACUAUUUCUUAAGCUUACCGAAGUUGUUUUGUCUCUACAUCAAUGGGGUCGUGCGUCUCAUUGUCAAUGAAGAAUCGCACUUCGGAUGAGGCGAGUGUCAGCGCCCUGUAAUAGCAAAUAAGGGACUUGUCAGUAAUCACUGUGUAAUAUACUUGCUCCAUGUGAGGAGGCAGGUCAUGCAUGAAGUUCUAGCGGUUUCUCCAGCCAAUGUAAUAAGUACAGUGUCCUUCGACCUUGCCAGGUGUUCGGCCCCGUGGAAGGAACAUGACAAGCUUUAGCUAACAGGUCACCAGGUUAAGGCGGUGUAAACAGUGCAAACUUUAGCUAUCAUGCCACCAGGUAAAUCCCAGUGUAAACAGCGCAAACACUAUACAGCAUUUCAGGUAUCGCUACACUUGGUUCACCACAACGCAAAGAAAAUGUUGAACUACCUCGCUGCACCUCCCAGCAUAGUGUAAAACAAACAGCACCAACAAUGCCUGCCUUGAACAGACUUGCACUAAUAGAUUAUGACACUGUCAGCCUCAGAGACCCAGAGCAUGGAAGUGGGGAAGGAUCCAAGUAGAAAUACUUGAGACACUCUUUAAUAUUGCUCAAACUACUUUCUCCUACCCAUUAUCAAUCCGGCGCUGUUUUAAUAUUUUUGCGAGUUUAUUCAAGUUCCUCAAAGAAACUGUGACAUCAUCAUUUAGAGAUAAGUCGUCGAUGCGAAGUUGUGCUUCAGCGUACGUCAGAGAGGCCUGUGAAUGAAACAAAACUGCCCUAUAACUGUAGUGAUUGACAAUGGGUGAGCUGGGGAGAAAGCCAAAGAUUUAUCCACUUUUGAAAGAGGAUGCAUCACUUUACCUUUGACCGGAUGAUGCUUUUAGUGAACUUUGUAGAGAUGACGUCUGCAUCAGGUGUCAUUUCCCAAAUUGAGGAAAAUGCAUACCUGAGGAAAAAAGGUGUGUUCACUUAUGUGGCACAUCCAUGCAUGCAGAUAACGGUAACAACAUGUUAUGGAGUGAUUUCCUUUGCUUUAUCUUAAUCACAUACCUGUCCACGUUGGAGCGUAACGAGCACAAGUUUGAACUCAGCAACUCAGGAACCAUGUCAAUACGCUGAAAAAAAUCAAUUGUUACACUCUGUGAAGCGGCUAUAUCUUAGGGAUAUAAAAUAAUAGAAUAAUAGCAGUGUUAUAUUGAAUCCUAUACAUUAUCGUUACUGUGCUCUGUUUGGCGAGAACAAAUGACAGCAUAUUUUGUGGGCAUCUCAAAAUAAAUAAUAAAUAAUUCAAAAAUAAA